UGGGUAAACGACUUAUUUCCACACCAGAACUAUCAUAUAGUAACAAAUCCACACAAACUUUAGAUGUACUCCAAUUCCACACAAUUUAAGUAUGUAAACCUAUUUCUCCCCAAACCAAAAGUUCGAAACCCGACUCUCCCUGAAUUUCGAAGAACGAACUAAUACCAACAGAUUCCAGCUUAAAGUAGGUUUACUAUUCUGUGUUUUAAAGCUAAACCAAUGUCUAACCUAAUUAAACCUAACAUGACCCGAUUACGACUCGAUUAGAAAUGUAAACCGGAUUAACCCAAAAUUAAAACCACAAGCCUUAAAUCCCCAAAUCAAAAAAUCUGCGCCUCUCUCUAAAGAAUCGACGACGAAGAGUGUAGGAGAACGACGACAGGUAACUUCCAAACUCUCUUAUCUCUCUGUUGAUUUUGUUAUUUUGUUUUUUGCUUUUUUUUUCAGAAAUCAAACAUGGAUGAUUCAUUGACUGAUGUUAACCUGGAAUGGAAUGAGGUUUCUGAAUUCUUAGCUCCAGACUCAUUACUCAUUGUCUCAGGGUGUGUGAGAAAGAGAAAUGGAUGAGAAGGUUUUUGAUUUUCGAUUUUCGAUUUAGGAUUCUUAGGAAAACUGAAAUCGAUUUGUUUUUUGUUUUUACCUUUAGUAGGUGUUGGUCGGGUAUGUAGUUGGAUAGGAGGGUUGGGUGGGGUUUUAAAAUCGGUUCGGUUCUCUGUUUACGUGUGGUUUAGGUUCUAAAAUUGGAGAGCGGCUGCAGCUUCCUCAUGUAGUUCUAGCAACAAGGUGACGACUCUAGAAGAAGAAGAAGCAGCCAAGGCUCAGCUAGUGCUAGUGUUUGUAUCUCCAAGAAGAGGCUGAUCUGGUGUGUCCGAGCAUUUCAACCUAACAACAGGUUAGGUGAAAUGGGAGAAAUGAAGAUCAGGUUGUUAGAAGAGUACAAGGCAUAGGGUGAAGUGAAGAGGCCAUGAUCCAGAAUCUUUGUGUC
rnacentral:lncRNA from 1 species